rfam:Felis catus breed Abyssinian isolate Cinnamon chromosome X unlocalized genomic scaffold Xrandom_299, whole genome shotgun sequence.
ACCUGGGUGGUUCAGUUGGUUGAGCAUCUGACUUCAGCUCAGGCCACGAUCUCUCGGUUUGUGGGUUCAAGCCCCACGUCGGGCU